rnacentral:rRNA from 1 species
GCUUGUCUCAAAGAUUAAGCCAUGCAUGUCUUAGUGUAAAUAACUCUUAUGAAACUGCGAAUGGCUCAUUAAAUCAGUUAUAGUUUAUUUGAUGGUACCUACUACUCGGAUAACCGUAGUAAUUCUAGAGCUAAUACGUGCGCACAACCCGACUUCUGGAAGGGUCGUAUUUAUUAGAUAAAAGGCCAGCCGGGCUUUGCCCGACCUGCGGUGAAUCAUGAUAACUUCACGAAUCGUAUGGCCUUGUGCCGACGAUGUUUCAUUCAAAUUUCUGCCCUAUCAAUUGGCGAUGGUAGGAUAGAGGCCUACCAUGGUGUUAACGGGUGACGGGGGAUUAGGGUUCGAUUCCGGAGAGGCAGCCUGAGAAACGGCUACCACAUCCAAGGAAGGCAGCAGG